AGUGAACGCUGGCGGUAGGCCUAACACAUGCAAGUCGAACGGCAGCACAGUAAGAGCUUGCUCUUACGGGUGGCGAGUGGCGGACGGGUGAGGAAUACAUCGGAAUCUACUUUUUCGUGGGGGAUAACGUAGGGAAACUUACGCUAAUACCGCAUACGACCUACGGGUGAAAGCAGGGGAUCUUCGGACCUUGCGCGAUAGAAUGAGCCGAUGUCGGAUUGGCUAGUUGGCGGGGUAAAGGCCCACCAAGGCGACGAUCCGUAGCUGGUCUGAGAGGAUGAUCAGCCACACUGGAACUGAGACACGGUCCAGACUCCUACGGGAGGCAGCAGUGGGGAAUAUUGGACAAUGGGCGCAAGCCUGAUCCAGCCAUACCGCGUGGGUGAAGAAGGCCUUCGGGUUGUAAAGCCCUUUUGUUGGGAAAGAAAAGCAGCAGGUUAAUACCCCGCUGUUCUGACGGUACCCAAAGAAUAAGCACCGGCUAACUUCGUG
rnacentral:rRNA from 1 species